GCCGGGGUAGCUCAGCUGGGAGAGCAACAGACUGAAGAUCCGAGCAUUCUGGAGGUCCCGUGUUCAAUCCACGGUCCUGGCA